UUUAGCCGGUUAAACGGGAAAAUAAUGGAACGGAAGUUGGACAAAAAUUAAAGUUAUAAAAGGGAACGCACAAAAGACGCUGAAAAUUCUUUCCAUUAUCUUUAAAAGCGCCUCCGUUUUUCGAGAAAAAACCCGUGUAUAUAGGAAACGUUCGCGUCCUGGUGCUCGCCUAGUCCUGGAAAGCUGAGCUUCAUUGUGCCAUUGUCUACGAAUUUCCUCUUUAGCUACGACGCUCAGACACUGUCACUUCCACCUUCUCGUAAUAAUUGUGAAGAAAAAAUCCAGGAUGAAAGGUCGCAAUGUUUAAGCAAAUUAAAUUAGGGCCGGAUAAUUAAGCGAAACCUUUCAGUUGCCGUUUAAAAAUGGAGCAAAUGCGAAGCUCUGUCGGAGGAAAAAUUCUUUUUGUUUAUUGUGCAAUUGUGGGGCACUGUUAGGGCUUUAAAAAGCAAAUUAUUAUGGCGUUUUCAAUUAAGGUCUGUUUAUGCGUGGCUUUCGACCGGUUUCGGCGAGUGCUAUCUGACAUGAUGUUUUCCCCGGUUCUAUCUGUGUAUCAUCUCUUAAAAAUAUCCUGUAGUUGCGGAGGGAUAUUUGCAUUAAUGUCUUGUUAUUUGCAUAAUACGGAGCAGGGUAAAGUGGAUAGUCAUGUAAAAACAGCCACAUUAUGUCGGAUUGUGUUGCCUUCCGCGGCGCGUUUUCUGAUUUAAAAUACCUCGCACGGAGCCGAUUUUUUUCCGAGAGUGCAAACGGAAUAAACGCUUCCUAAAUAAAGGCGACUUCUUUCGAAAGAUUGCUUUAACGAGACGUAAGCGAGCUGCCACCGAGACAAUGGAGGUCAAUUCGGGAGGUUUGCUGCAGCAUCCGAUAUCCUGGCAGUCUAGUCACUACCAAUUAUUUGUGACUUAUACGCAUUGUGUUUCCAAUAAUCUGCAGCUAGGAUCCAGUUGACUGUCCCUCGAGCCGUGACCUGAACAAAUACGAAUACGACGUAUACACAGUGAGCCAGCGAAACUGCCACCAAAUAAAUCCACACGAGCGUUCGCCAGUAAUGUGAUUAGCAUAAGUUGGCGAAAUUGUGUUAACGAUACUAAGUUGGUAAAAUGCCAUGUGACGACUACGUGAGAGCUGAUUGCUGGGAGAAAACAACCAGAAUCGCGGUGCUCAACAAGCUAAAUCUUCAUCUGCUCAUCUUGAACAUUACAAAACUGUUUCAACUUUUAAGCUCCAGCAGAUAUUACCCUAUAGAAGAGACAAACAGUCAUGUUAUGUUUUUGGCUUUAGCACAACUUCGUUAAAGCUUCAUGUUUUCAAUAAGUCUGAAUGGUUUUAUACACGAAAACGCCUUUACUGCUAUCGUUAGGUCACUUGUUAACUCCGUAGUCCUUUUUAGAGAAACCUGGCACAGGUGACAUUUUUAAUAUUUACUCUUUGAUCUUAACAUUUUUUCAAUUUAAAAUUUUGUAAUUUCUUUUCGGGAAGUAAAACCGGUGUCAUUCUGAGACAGUGACGUUUUUGUCACGUCAUAAUGGCAAAAAAUCCGAUAUAUUUUAUUUUUUGGUUUGUCCCUUUUUGUUUUUCUUUUAUCAUAGCACUUCUUAGUGCACUCGGAUAUGUUUUUCUUUAUCCACUCGCACUGUGUGUGAACUUGUGUGUGGAAUUUACAGACUUACUACUUAAAGGAAUUCAACUACCUCAUACUUUUGCCAAAAAGAUGAUCCACUGUGAGAGAAUUAGUGGUGGUUACGAUCCUGUGAAAUAAGAUAAUUCUUUGUGUAAAAAGUGACUCGCAAUUACGCUGUACCUAGUAGGAAAAACCUAUGAAGCAAUUUGUUAUAUCGUUAUAACAUAUGCAAAAUACAAUAAAUUUCGUACCAAGGUUA